GAUGAACGCUAGCGGCAGGCCUAACACAUGCAAGUCGAGGGGUAGAGGAAGCUUGCUUCCUUGAGACCGGCGCACGGGUGCGUAACGCGUAUGCAAUCUACCUUUUACAGAGGGAUAGCCCAGAGAAAUUUGGAUUAAUACCUCAUAGUAUCUUUGCCUGGCAUCGGGUGAUUAUUAAAGUUCCAACGGUAAAAGAUGAGCAUGCGUCCUAUUAGCUAGAUGGUAAGGUAACGGCUUACCAUGGCAACGAUAGGUAGGGGUCCUGAGAGGGAGGUCCCCCACACGGGUACUGAGACACGGACCAGACUCCUACGGGAGGCAGCAGUGAGGAAUAUUGGACAAUGGGCGCAAGCCUGAUCCAGCCAUGCCGCGUGCAGGAAGACGGUCCUAUGGAUUGUAAACUGCUUUUGUACGGGAAGAAACACUCCUACGUGUAGGAGCUUGACGGUACCGUAAGAAUAAGGAUCGGCUAACUCCGUGCCAGCAGCCGCAGUAAUAC
rnacentral:rRNA from 1 species